UACGUAGGCAGCGAGCGUUGUUCGGAGUUACUGGGCGUAAAGGGUGUGUAGGCGGUUGUUUAAGUUUGGUGUGAAAUCUCCCGGCUCAACUGGGAGGGUGCGCCGAAUACUGAAUGACUCGAGUGCGGGAGAGGAGAGUGGAAUUCCUGGUGUAGCGGUGAAAUGCGUAGAUAUCAGGAGGAACACCGGUGGUGUAGACGGCUUUCUGGAUCGUAACUGACGCUGAGACACGAAAAGCGUGGGGGAGCGAAACAGG
rnacentral:rRNA from 1 species